UGUGACGUCAACGGGGGAUAGAAAUUCGCCAGAGAAAAUAAAAUUUUACUGUGUCGCUGAAGAAAUCAACGUCUUUAGCACAAUAUAUGCAAAUCAUCCCAAAUGCUAUGUUCAGAAACAGUGAAGUACCAUGGCUGAACCAGAUCCUGUAACAGAAAAGAAAGUACAACAGUACACGACUGUGAUUGUCAUAAGCUGUAUGCCAAGGAUGUCCCUGGCGCUGUUUUACCGCAACUUCAACCAGAAAGAUGCACAGUUACAGAGUUGCGAAUAUGGUUGAAAUGUCGGGGACAAGCUGUGAAAUCGAAUGAGACAAAAGCCGAACUUUGCUUGAGGGUAAAGAAAUUCAGUGACAACCAGGAUAAACUCCUAAUUGUGGAUCCUUAUCCAGACCAGCCCUUUGCAGCUAAGCAGAAGUCGUCCUGUAUGAACUGUAAAGGACAAUCAACAGUGUCAACAGCGGAAGAACAUCUUAAUUUGGAAGAAUGCACAUGGACCCAAAGCACCAGACCGAUCUUCAAAGACUUUUCGUACAUGAACAUUCUGGAAUGGACCAAAAGUUCUGGUAAAGGUUCAAAACUGGGUGUUGAAAAGCCUAUUCAACGAGGCUAUGUGUUUUUUCAUGACGGUUAUGUAUUCGACACAUGGACAUCUGAACGUAACAGUUCAACAAUUGUUAGAUGUAAGUGUUUCCGCUCCAUGAAAAACCGGUAAUCAGGAAUAAAGAGUAUUGAAAUAAUAUAAAUUAGAUUUGAAAGUAUUCAAUUUUGUGUUAUUUAGUGUCAGUAUUUGUGAGAUUCACCUCAAAUCACAUUUAUUCAUUCAAUAUAAUCAUAGGAUCUCAGCUCAUUUUGGUGCAAUACCUGUAUCUGAAUGUUUGUAAUUUUCAGAUUGUGUUUCCUUAAAUUAGUUUAUGGUUUCUAGCUUUCACAUGUUGUCUUUCAUCAUUAAUCUCUCAAUUAAUGAUACUGCAUACUGUUUUGUGAUGAACUAUGCUACUCAAAUGUGCUUAUCUUGCAUUAUUUCUGUUGUAAUAAAGCUUAUAUCAUUGAUAACAAA